rnacentral:rRNA from 1 species
CCUACGGGAGGCAGCAGUGGGGAAUAUUGCACAAUGGGCGAAACCCUGAUGCAGCGACGCCGCGUGAGUGAAGAAGUCAUUCGUUAUGUUAAGCUCUAUCAGCCGGGAAGAAAAGGACGGUACCUGAGUCAGAAGGCCCGGCUAACUACGUGCCAGCAGCCGCGGUCAUACGUAGGGGGCAAGCGUUAUCCGGAUUUACUGGGUGUAAAGGGAGCGUAGACGGCAGUGAAAGUCUGGAGUGAAAGACGGGGGCUCAACCCCCGGACUGCUCUGGAAACUGUACGGCUGGAGUGCAGGAGAGGUAAGUGGAAUUCCUGGUGUAGCGGUGAAAUGCGUAGAUAUUAGGAGGAACACCAGUGGCGAAGGCGGCUUACUGGACUGUAACUGACGUUGAGGCUCGAAAGCGUGGGGAGCAAACAGGAUUAGAUACCCGUGUAGUC